rnacentral:tRNA from 1 species
GGUUUCAUGGUCUAGUGGUUAGAUAUUGGACUUUGAAUCCAAUAACCCAAGUUCUAUUCUUGGUGGGACCU